AACUUGCCAAGGAGCCUGGUGAGCCGCCCAGCUGACUCCCUUCAGUCUAAUGAGUGUCAUUUGUCAGCUGCUUGCCACGUGUCCUUCCGCCAAAUCUGGAAGACAAGGCCUCACAAACUACUUUUGUGAAUAUUCAGUUGGACAACCCUGUUUGGUUUUGCCUACGACCACCACCAAACAUUCACACUCAGCCGUGCACAACUGUGAGUGACACUGGAGGCAAGGUGGGUGAAGUGCCUUGCCCAUGGACACAAAUUGACUCUGCUCGAGCUCUGGAGAAUCAUCGGGACGAAUGAAUUAGCGUCCUUGUUUGGAUAUUCUUUUCUAUUUGGAAUAAUCAGAGUGCCAUUCAGCGGCAGGAUGGCCGCGCACAGAUGCCCAAACACAGCUGACGGGAACUGAAACACAGUCAACGUGACCCAUGACGGGAAGAAUGGGAAUAAUGCAGGUGGAAUGUCUGGAAAAGCUUGCAUGGAGGAAAAAAAUGGGACAGCUCACUCGGCUCAAACUUGGCCUGGCUCCCGGGAAUGCGGUUAGCAAGCAUACAAUCACCGCCUAUUGACGGUAGCACAGCUGCUGUGGACAUAUGUUUCACCACUAAAGGAGGACAACAUCAACCAGGCGCACCUUGAACAGGUGAGCAGAUGAAUGGCAUGUUCGCGCCUUUGACUGGCUGCCUGCCCUCCAUUCCUCACAAUUUUUGCAUGGCUCGACAAAUAAGUUGCUUGACAGCAUGGUGGACAAAAACCUUUUCUAAUCUGCGACAGCACAUGGUAGGCAUUUUGUUUUUCGUAGAAAUAGAUGCCUAAAUGUGUUUUUUU